rnacentral:rRNA from 1 species
ACUAGUGAUUCGCGGCUGUGGCACGUAGUUAGCCGGCGCUUCUUCUGCAGGUACCGUCACUCUCGCUUCUUCCCUGCUGAAAGAGGUUUACAACCCGAAGCCGUCAUCCCUCACGCGGCGUCGCUGCAUCAGGCUUUCGCCCAUUGUGCAAUAUUCCCCACUGCUGCCUCCCGUAGAGUCUGGGCCGUGUCUCAGUCCCAGUGUGGCCGGUCGCCCUCUCAGGCCGGCUACCCGUCGUCGCCUUGGUGAGCCGUUACCUCACCAACAAGCUGAUAGGCCGCGGCUCAUCCUGCACCGCCGGAGCUUUCCAACCUCCCAGAUGCCCAGGAGGCUCGUAUCCGGUAUUAGACCCCGUUUCCAGGGCUUGUCCCAGAGUGCAGGGCAGAUUGCCCACGUGUUACUCACCCGUUCGCCACUAAUCCACCCCGAAGCUUCAUCGUUCGACUUGCAUGUGUUAAGCACGCCGCCAGCGUUCGUCCUGAGCCAGGAUCAAACUCUCCGU